AGACCCGAAACCCGGUGAUCUAGCCAUGGGCAGGUUGAAGGUUGGGUAACACUAACUGGAGGACCGAACCGACUAAUGUUGAAAAAUUAGCGGAUGACCUGUGGCUGGGGGUGAAAGGCCAAUCAAACCGGGAGAUAGCUGGUUCUCCCCGAAAGCUAUUUAGGUAGCGCCUCGUGAAUUCAUCUCCGGGGGUAGAGCACUGUUUCGGCUAGGGGGCCAUCCCGGCUUACCAACCCGAUGCAAACUGCGAAUACCGGAGAAUGUUAUCACGGGAGACACACGGCGGGUGCUAACGUCCGUCGUGAAGAGGGAAACAACCCAGACCGCCAGCUAAGGUCCCAAAGUCAUGGUUAAGUGGGAAACGAUGUGGGAAGGCCCAGACAGCCAGGAUGUUGGCUUAGAAGCAGCCAUCAUUUAAAGAAAGCGUAAUAGCUCACUGGUCGAGUCGGCCUGCGCGGAAGAUGUAACGGGGCUAAACCAUGCACCGAAGCUGCGGCAGCGACGCUGAUGCGUUGUUGGGUAGGGGAGCGUUCUGUAAGCCUGCGAAGGUGGCCUGUGAGGGUUGCUGGAGGUAUCAGAAGUGCGAAUGCUGACAUAAGUAACGAUAAAGCGGGUGAAAAGCCCGCUCGCCGGAAGACCAAGGGUUCCUGUCCAACGUUAAUCGGGGCAGGGUGAGUCGACCCCUAAGGCGAGGCCGAAAGGCGUAGUCGAUGGGAAACGGGUUAAUAUUCCCGUACUUGGUGUUACUGCGAAGGGGGGACGGAGAAGGCUAUGUUGGCCGGGCGA
rnacentral:rRNA from 1 species